rnacentral:rRNA from 1 species
GAUGAACGCUGGCGGCGUGCCUAAUACAUGCAAGUCGAGCGAACAGAUAAGGAGCUUGCUCCUUUGACGUUAGCGGCGGACGGGUGAGUAACACGUGGGUAACCUACCUAUAAGACUGGGAUAACUUCGGGAAACCGGAGCUAAUACCGGAUAACAUUUGGAACCGCAUGGUUCUAAAGUGAAAGAUGGUUUUGCUAUCACUUAUAGAUGGACCCGCGCCGUAUUAGCUAGUUGGUAAGGUAACGGCUUACCAAGGCGACGAUACGUAGCCGACCUGAGAGGGUGAUCGGCCACACUGGAACUGAGACACGGUCCAGACUCCUACGGGAGGCAGCAGUAGGGAAUAUUCCGCAAUGGGCGAAAGCAUGACGGAGCAACGCCGCGUGAGUGAUGAAGGGUUUCGGCUCGUAAAACUCUGUUAUUAGGGAAGAACAAAAGUGUAAGUAAAUGUGGACGUCUUGACGGUACCUAAUCAGAAAGCAACGGCUAACUACGUG